rnacentral:rRNA from 1 species
UGGGAUGACGUCAAGUCAGCAUGGCCUUUAUAUCCUUGGGCCCACACACACGCUACAAUGGCCAGUACAAUGGGAUGCCAAGCCGCAAGGCGGAGCCAACCCUCAAAGCUGGUCUCAGUUCGGAUUGCAGGCUGCAACUCGCCUGCAUGAAGCCGGAGUUGCUAGUAACCGCAGGUCAGCUAUACUGCGGUCGAAUACGUUCCCGGGCCCUU